ensembl:lncRNA
UUUUUAAGAUUGACAGCAGUGAUUUAUUAUUGUACAAAGAAUUUCCUCUCAGUAAUAUUUCUGUGUGGGUUACAGGAAGUAACGGUAGAGACGGGUACUCUCAGCCAUCUGGCUCAAGUUCUCAUGGUACUGUACCUGUUCAUCUGCUGUAAAUAUGCUUUUCUUUUUACUCUUACAAGUUUACUGCCUAAUCAUUGAAAUUAUUUCACUUACAGAUGCAAGUUAUGGUGGACAAGAUGGGUCCAAAUCAGAGAUAGUUCCCCCAGGCGUAGGAGCUGGAGGAGCAGCUGCUAAUGGAGGUUCAGGAUCUAAAGUCCCUGAUGGGGGCGUCCAUUCAAUGUCCAUUUCUGAGGUGCCAUCAGGUCAUAUAGCAGCAGGUCAUGGGUCAACAAUGUUAUCCAGCCACACUUUUGACCGACCUGCAGCAGGACAGACAUCAGAUGGUGUGGGUGUAGUUUCCUCCGAGGUCCAAUCACAGCCUACAGGGUCAGAGGGAUUCGCUCCACAUACAGAUGGCUCACAGUAUGAAAAUGGUAUGUGUAUAACAGGAUCUCGCUACUGAGGUAAUUUCUUACUUCUUAAAUGCUGUGAACACUUAUACGUGAACAG